rnacentral:rRNA from 1 species
CAAUAGCGUAUAUUAAAGUUGUUGCAGUUAAAAAGCUCGUAGUUGAACUUUGGGCCUGGCAGGCCGGUCCGCUUUUUGGCGAGUAAUGACCCUGCCGGGCCUUUCCUUCUGGCUAACCUCCCCUCUGGAGAGGCGAACCAGGACUUUUACUUUGAAAAAAUUAGAGUGUUCAAAGCAGGCCUUUGCUCGAAUAUAUUAGCAUGGAAUAAUAGAAUAGGACGUUUGGUUCUAUUUUGUUGGUUUCUAGGACCAUCGUAAUGAUUAAUAGGGACGGUCGGGGGCAUCAGUAUUCAGUUGUCAGAGGUGAAAUUCUUGGAUUUACUGAAGACUAACUACUGCGAAAGCAUUUGCCAAGGACGUUUUCAUUAA